AUACGUAGGUCCCGAGCGUUGUCCGGAUUCAUUGGGCGUAAAGCGAGCGCAGGUGGUUGUAUAAGUCUGAAGUAAAAGGCAGUGGCUCAACCAUUGUGUGCUUUGGAAACUGUACAACUUGAGUGCAGAAGGGGAGAGUGGAAUUCCAUGUGUAGCGGUGAAAUGCGUAGAUAUAUGGAGGAACACCGGUGGCGAAAGCGGCUCUCUGGUCUGUAACUGACACUGAGGCUCGAGAGCGUGGGGAGC
rnacentral:rRNA from 1 species